rnacentral:rRNA from 1 species
CCUACGGGCGGCAGCAGUGGGGAAUCUUGCGCAAUGGAGGAAACUCUGACGCAGCGACGCCGCGUGGGUGAAGAAGGCCUUCGGGUUGUAAAGCCCUGUCGAAUGGGACAAACGUCGUUUGUGCUAAUACCACAGACGAGUGAUGGUACCAUUAGAGGAAGCACCGGCUAACUCUGUGCCAGCAGCCGCGGUAAUACAGAGGGUGCAAGCGUUGUUCGGAAUCAUUGGGCGUAAAGGGCAGGUAGGUGGUUUAGUAAGUCGACUGUGAAAUCCCU